UACGUAGGGUGCAAGCGUUGUCCGGAAUUAUUGGGCGUAAAGAGCUCGUAGGCGGUCUGUCGCGUCGGAUGUGAAAAGCCCGGGGCUUAACCCCCGGGGUCUGCAUUCGAUACGGGCAGACUUGAGUACUGCAGGGGGAGACUGGAAUUCCUGGUGUAGCGGUGGAAUGCGCAGAUAUCAGGAGGAACACCGGUGGCGAAGGCGGGUCUCUGGGCAGUAACUGACGCUGAGGAGCGAAAAGCGUGGGGGAGCGAACAGG
rnacentral:rRNA from 1 species